UAACUACUCCCUCUGUUCGGAAUUACUUGUCGCGGAAAUGGAUGUAUCUAGAUGUAUUUUAGUUUUAGAUACAUCCAUUUUUAAGACAAGUAAUUUCGAACGGAGGGAGUAUAUG
rnacentral:pre_miRNA from 1 species